UCUACAGGACAGGGGACGGGACGGAUCUCCAAGACAGAAGGAUAUAUCCGAGAUCACACCGUGGAGAUGUGCGUUCCAAAUCUCCUCACCAGAGCGCUCCAGGGUGCAGAAGCAGAAAUCACCCUGCCAAGGGUCUCUCACCGGCCUAGACUUUGCCAAGGAGGGGAGCCCCAGGGAUCCUCCUGUCUCCAUUGAUCCAGAACCAAAAUUAUAAGUAUGUGCCAUCACACCCAGCUUUUCACAUGCGUGCUAGGGACUAAACUAGGAAGCUUUUGUCACA